GGCUUACGGGGUCUUACACAUGCAGUCGACGAUGAACCUCACUUGUGGGGGGAUUAGUGGCGAACGGGUGAGUAACACGUGAGUAACCUGCCCUUAACUCUGGGAUAAGCCUGGGAAACUGGGUCUAAUACCGGAUAUGACUCCUCAUCGCAUGGUGGGGGGUGGAAAGCUUUUUGUGGUUUUGGAUGGACUCGCGGCCUAUCAGCUUGUUGGUGAGGUAAUGGCUUACCAAGGCGACGACGGGUAGCCGGCCUGAGAGGGUGACCGGCCACACUGGGACUGAGACACGGCCCAGACUCCUACGGGAGGCAGCAGUGGGGAAUAUUGCACAAUGGGCGCAAGCCUGAUGCAGCGACGCCGCGUGAGGGAUGACGGCCUUCGGGUUGUAAACCUCUUUCAGUAGGGAAGAAGCGUAAGUGACGGUACCUGCAGAAGAAGCGCCGGCUAACUACGUGCCAGCAGACGAAAAAAAUGA
rnacentral:rRNA from 1 species